rnacentral:lncRNA from 1 species
CUUGAUUGCAACCGAAUCGAACCAGCUGUCCUUCCUUUUGGGAUUUGGUUUAGGAGCCUCUAAGAUUUUGGACGAUUUUCGACGGAUAAUAGAUUUCGGUCUUCGUGGCGGUGGAGGAGGACGAGAAGGAGGACGGGACGGGAAGGAACCGGUUUGCGAUCGAGGGAGGUUGGUGUUUUACUUUCCGCGGGAGGUGGCGGCACAUACCUGAUGAAACUGGGAACAAACACGUACUCCACAAUCCCACGUUAUCUCGUACUCCGGUGACCAUUAAUCCGUCUGAGAUCCAAGAUUGGCGUCGCAUCCGGGUAAAACUUUGAUCAGCUCGUCGAGAAGCAAAAGUCCAACACCAACAUCCAAGCCGGAAGCUGCGAUCAAGGCAAAUCCGAGACCAUCUGGAGAAAGCCAAGUUGGAUAAGAAUCGGCGAUCCGGAAGUUAAAUUUAGUGAAAAAGUGAAUAUUAUAGUGAAAUUAGGUGUGUUUCAAUAAAAAAUUAAAUAAAAAAACAA